UGGAGUUUCCAGUUUCUCUCAAAAACUGGUGGUGCGGAUGGGGCAACCCCGCCCAGUUUCUUGCUUCUGGAUAAAGAGCAAGUGGCGAGCCUGAAA
rnacentral:ncRNA from 1 species